UACAGAGGUCUCAAGCGUUGUUCGGAAUCACUGGGCGUAAAGGGUGCGUAGGCUGCGCUGUAAGUCAGAUGUGAAAUCCCGGGGCUCAACCCCGGAACUGCAUCCGAUACUGCGGUGCUUGAGGACUGGAGAGGAGUCUGGAAUUCAUGGUGGAGCAGUGAAAUGCGUAGAUAUCAUGAGGAACACCGGUGGCGAAGGCGGGUCUCUGGGCCGAUACUGACGUGGAGGAGCGAAAGCGUGGGGAGCGAACAGG
rnacentral:rRNA from 1 species